rnacentral:misc_RNA from 1 species
UACAGUCUCUCCAUUUAAAUUUGUUUUUUGGGGACAGAUUUCAUCAUUUCCUGUUUUAGUUUUUUUUUUUUCAGUAAUUGUGAAAACAACUAACAGGACAAUCAGAUUAUUAAUCUAUAUUGUUGGAUUUGCUGAUAUGUUCCCUUUUGUUCUUUAGAGGACACUGCAGUUAUAUUUGGUGCUGUACAAUGUUAUUUAGACUUCUGUUUGUGAUUGAUGUCUCAGUGCAACUUUCUUCUCUGCCAUAUCAUUCUCUUAUUUUGUGCAUUUACAUUUUAGUUGGUCUUUUGUAUUUGAUGCCAUUUGUUUGUUGGAACCGUCUAAGGAUGGCAAUUGUUCCCG